GAUGAACGCUGGCGGCGUGCUUAACACAUGCAAGUCGAACGAAGAUGCCGGAGUGCUUGCACUUUGGCAGACUGAGUGGCGGACGGGUGAGUAACGCGUGGGUAACCUGCCUUAUACAGGGGGAUAACAGUUGGAACGACUGCUAAUACCGCAUAAGCGCGCGGUAUCGCAUGAUACAGUGUGAAAACUACCGGUGGUAUGAGAUGGACCCGCGUCUGAUUAGCUAGUUGGUGAGGUAACGGCCCACCAAGGCGACGAUCAGUAGCCGACCUGAGAGGGUGAUCGGCCACAUUGGGACUGAGACACGGGCCCAAACUCCUACGGGAGGCAGCAGUUGGGGAAUAUUGCACAAUGGGGGAAACCCU
rnacentral:rRNA from 1 species